rnacentral:RNase_P_RNA from 1 species
AGAGGGGAGCGACAUUCAGGAGUUACAGAAAGAGUGGGAUCUGAUGCGUCUCUCUAGCACACGGCUCUUGUGAAAACCUCUAAGACUGUAAGAGAUCAGUAAGCAGUCCCAAUCUUUUGCCUUCAUGAACUUGGGGAGAUGAGUGAAGUGCUUAGGGCAUAGAUCUCUGUGGGAGGUCAGCUGGGCAGCGGAUGAUCCAGGCCUUCUGCCUCUGUAGGCCUCUCCCAGGCAAGGGGUCCUAGCAUAUGCCUCCUUCCCUGGAGCUUGGAACAGACUUCCAGCCAGCCAAGUGAGUUCAAGGCUGGAGGUGAUGUACCAGGUCAGCGGGACUCAUACCUCAAUUCAGAUUACUCUCCCCCAUUCC